AGGAAUAUGAGGCAAGUUGGACAAUCAACAUGAUGAUCGCUUCAGGCUAGAUUAUCGGCGUACUAAUCCACCUUGAGCCCGGUAGUGGACCUGGUUACAACAUGCAGAUCAGUGGUUCCUUCAAGAUAGCUUGGCACCUCUACACAGGAUACUUCAAACUCAAUUCAAGUGUUGAUGAGAGAUAGCCAAGGAGCCCCUGAAGGCUGUCAAUGAAGGUAAGAUCCAUGUGUUUAUCAAUUUUCCUUAUUUUUCAGCUUCAGGCCUUGCCAGUGGUCAUCCGGUUGAUGGUCAGAUUGCCUCGGAAAGGAGCAAUUACGACUGCAAGAGAGCUAGUGAAAUGCCACAUUAAACCUGUUUUACUAGAGCAUAAUCAAUUUUCUAUGUUUUCAUAGAAUUCUAUGCUUGCAACCUGUACUUGAAGAGUUUGAUUCCAAAAAGAGCUAAAUCCACUUUGACCGAAAUUGAUUUUUUUAUACAGAUAUAUGUAUCUUAGACAGGGGAAUCACAUUUGAAAAGGUUGGUAAAAAUUGAUUGCAAAUUUGAGUUAUGCAUUCAACGUUUUAGAUACAAGUUUACACCAUCAGGGCAAAAUUUGCUGAAAAUAACAGAAUUUUACAAUUCUUAUGAAUAAUUUUUGAUUUAGCAAAAAAGUUGCCGUCUUUAGAAAGGAUGAAAAAUGUUUUUUUCCUUGUCAUCGGGAAAAGAUGUGAAAUGUAUUUUGCCAGCCAUAUUUUAUAUUUUUCAUGUUCAAUUCUGUUAUCAAAUUGACCAACAUUGACAUUUAUAAGGUUUUGAAUCCAAGAAAAAUCAUACGAUAGUACUAGCAUAUAUAUCAAAAUAAAACAGCAGUGGCUUAGGGAAAGUGAAUUAAAAAAAAUUUACAGAAAAAUACAAAAAGUGGCCUUUUGAAACAAAACUCUUCUAUGAACACACAGGGGAAAGAAGCGUUAUCCUUGUAAGUGGCAGAUUUAUUAACCACAGCAGUAAAGCAGGGCUGGGACA